GGGUCAAUGAUGAGUACUUUAUACUGCCUUGAGGAAAGAUGAUGACUUCAAUAUCAAGUACAAUGGCAUGACACUGAGGCCC
ensembl:snoRNA SNORD115 Small nucleolar RNA SNORD115